AUACGGAGGGGGCUAGCGUUGUUCGGAAUUACUGGGCGUAAAGCGCACGUAGGCGGAUUAAAAAGUUAGAGGUGAAAUCCCAGGGCUUAACCCUGGAACUGCCUUUAAAACUAGUAGUCUAGAGUUCGAGAGAGGGGAGUGGAAUUCCAAGUGUAGAGGUGAAAUUCGUAGAUAUUUGGAGGAACACCAGUGGCGAAGGCGGCUCACUGGCUCGAUACUGACGCUGAGGUGCGAAAGCGUGGGGAGCAAACAGGAUUAGAAACCCUAGUAGUCC
rnacentral:rRNA from 1 species